GAGUGGGCGGAGUCAGAAAGAACAGAAGGGUACCAGACGUGUUGUCUCAGUGGGCGUUUACAAACUGUCGGUUGACGAUAGCAACGGCAAACGAUAAAGUCAUAAAAUUCCUCUUACGGCGGGUAGAAAAAUCCUCUAAAAGCCUUCCUCAUUAUUCACGAAAGUCUGUCGCUGACGCGCUCGCUCUAAAUAGGUCUUACAGUGCUGGGAUGUGUCACAAGGCAGGAUAGUUCGCACUGGUACUCUUGGGGACGUGAGCCGUUCAUACUAAGAUUGGAGGCACGAGUUUUACAUCACACAACGCCCUUGUAGCGACCACAAGUACAUCAGGUUGUCUUUUCCGUGGUUAUACACCGAGAGGAUUAUUCAUUUUUAUCGACUUUUGAGGAUUUUGAGGAUUUUCUUUUGGCGGGAAAGAUGUCUGCUAUGACGGGACUGACGGACGCUGCGUUCGGCGUUUCUUUCAACCGACUGCUGAAGUCCGACUCGACCCGAAGACGCGCGAAGUCUUCCCGGACCGGUAUCCGAAAGAAGAAGUCUACCGACAUCGUGAUGUCUAAAGAACUCCCUGAUGUGGUGAGAGAGUCUGAGACUGACUUCUCAAGAAAUAACGACGCCAAGACGUCGCAAGUUUACAGCUGAAGAUCCAAAAAGGAAGAAACGUGCGGACAUCGAACAACUGACUGUCAAGAGAACAAAGACUUAUUUGCUUAACAACACUGACAGACGUCUGCAACUAACACGUGUUUUCCACCGUCGCGCACAAUGUUAUCUUCUACAAACUACUAUAUUCACGUUAUACAUGACAAAAACAAGCCAAGGCAUAAUUUAAAAAAUGCAUGAUGUUAUUCUGUAUAGCACUUUUGAAAAAAAA